CACGUAGGCACCAAGCGUUGUCCGGAUUUAUUGGGCGUAAAGAGCUCGUAGGCGGUUCGGUAAGUCGGGUGUGAAAACUUUGGGCUCAACCCAAAGCCUGCACUCGAUACUGCUGUGACUUGAGUCCGGUAGGGGAGUGGGGAAUUCCUGGUGUAGCGGUGGAAUGCGCAGAUAUCAGGAGGAACACCGAUGGCGAAGGCAGCUCGCUGGGACGGUACUGACGCUGGAGGCGCGAAAGCGUGGGGAGCGAACAGG
rnacentral:rRNA from 1 species